CGCCAAGAGGCACCCAGCCGGCAGGGGUCGCCGCUGUCGCAGGCGGAGGGCAAGGGGUCGUGACCGGCUGAGCCCCUACCCACCCCCUCCCCGGGAGGCUGGAUGCAGGAUCCUGAGCCUUCUCGGGGAGACAGACCUUACCCCCACUUUACAGAGGAGGACUCCCCAGCCCAGAGCCGGACUAGUCCUCCGGACUGCCAAGGUGACUCGAAACAAGGAAAGGCUGAGGCACUGUCACAGCCUGGCGGAGCCCAGGGAGACGGGACAGCUAACUGGUCUCCUGGAGGGAAUCCUGAAACAGGGUGAUGGACAUUCGGCAGCUACUAAGGAGAUCUGAAUAAGGAUACUGGGAAGAGCAGCAGGGCUCCACCGGGGAAGAACGCUUGAGAAUUGCCGUGGACUAAAUCCCGGGUCGUGGACAAUCCUGACUCCUCGGUGUUCUCUGGGGCCCGCUGGCCCUGGAGAGAGAGGGCAGAGUGAGAAACGGUUAGAGAAGGAAGGGCAAGCUGACCACACAGGACCCUUGACAAAGGAUGGCCCCUUCCCGGAAACACAGCUCCCAGUGUCAGGUGCUGGGGGAGGCGGUGACAGCUGGCAGCAUGGCAGGUUUCUGGCUCUUCCUCGGAGGCAGCAGAGCGGCCAUCCCGAACUUAGGCCCUGUGCUGUGUGACUUUGGGCCAGUCCCUUGGCCUCUCUGUGCUUGGUUCCUUAUGGGUGAAGUGUUAUUUGGCUCCUCCCAAGAGGAUGUGUGGGGUUGAGUGAGAUGACAUUUGUCCACUGCCAGCACCAGAAACCUGUUCAAGAUAUGUUCAUGAGGAAGAGGACAGCUCAGGCAGCUGAAGGGCCCUGUUCCAGGAGAUGCCUCUGGAGGAGAGGGACCUCAGGCCCAGCCCUAGCUCAGAGCCCCACUGCCCAGGCCGUCCUGAGACUCAGCUCUGUGCCGGAGGAGGACGGGCAGGAGGGCAGGGUGUUCCUUGGCCCCGACCCUUCCCUGCCUCCUUCCUCUGAAACAGGGACCAGGGAGUCCAAGCUCGUGCUGGGCCCGCACUGCCCACGAAGCGCAGUCAGGGGACUGGCACGAGGUGCCUGCUGUCUGGGCAGCGCUGCAAACGGAAACCACAAGGUCCUCCCCAGGCCAGAAGCAGGCCAGCUCAGGACACAGGGAUUCCCGGGGUGCCUGGAGCCCUGGCAAAGCCUUGGACCCCUUCACAGUGCUACUUUUUAAG
rnacentral:lncRNA from 1 species